UACGGGGGGGGCAAGCGUUGUUCGGAAUUCCUGGGCGUAAAGCGCACGUAGGCGUUCUUUUAAGUCGGGGGUGAAAUCCUGGAGCUCAACUCCAGAACUGCCUUCGAUACUGGAAGACUUGAGUCCGGGAGAGGUGAGUGGAAUUCCUGGUGUAGCGGUGAAAUGCGCAGAUAUCAGGAGGAACACCAAUGGCGAAGGCAGCUCGCUGGGACGGUACUGACGCUGAGACGCGAAAGCGUGGGGAGCAAACAGG
rnacentral:rRNA from 1 species